rnacentral:rRNA from 1 species
AGAGUUUGAUCCUGGCUCAGGAUGAACGCUGGCGGCGUGCCUAACACAUGCAAGUCGAGCGAUUCUCUUCGGAGAAGAGCGGCGGACGGGUGAGUAACGCGUGGGUAACCUGCCCUGUACACACGGAUAACAUACCGAAAGGUAUGCUAAUACGGGAUAACAUAAGAAAUUCGCAUGUUUUUCUUAUCAAAGCUCCGGCGGUACAGGAUGGACCCGCGUCUGAUUAGCUAGUUGGUGAGGUAACGGCUCACCAAGGCGACGAUCAGUAGCCGACCUGAGAGGGUGAUCGGCCACAUUGGAACUGAGACACGGUCCAAACUCCUACGGGAGGCAGCAGUGGGGAAUAUUGCACAAUGGGCGAAAGCCUGAUGCAGCAACGCCGCGUGAGCGAUGAAGGCCUUCGGGUCGUAAAGCUCUGUCCUCAAGGAAGAUAAUGACGGUACUUGAGGAGGAAGCCCCGGCUAACUACGUGCCAGCAGCCGCGGUAAUACGUAGGGGGCUAGCGUUAUCCGGAUUUACUGGGCGUAAAGGGUGCGUAGGCGGUCUUUUAAGUCAGGAGUGAAAGGCUACGGCUCAACCGUAGUAAGCUCUUGAAACUGGAGGACUUGAGUGCAGGAGAGGAGAGUGGAAUUCCUAGUGUAGCGGUGAAAUGCGUAGAUAUUAGGAGGAACACCAGUAGUGAAGGCGGCUCUCUGGACUGUAACUGACGCUGAGGCACGAAAGCGUGGGGAGCAAACAGGAUUAGAUACCCUGGUAGUCCACGCCGUAAACGAUGAGUACUAGCUGUCGGAGGUUACCCCCUUCGGUGGCGCAGCUAACGCAUUAAGUACUCCGCCUGGGGAGUACGCUCGCAAGAGUGAAACUCAAAGGAAUUGACGGGGACCCGCACAAGUAGCGGAGCAUGUGGUUUAAUUCGAUGAUACGCGAGGAACCUUACCCGGGCUUGAAUUGCAGCCGAACGAUCCAGAGAUGGUGAGGCCCUUCGGGGCGGCUGUGAAGGUGCUGCAUGGUUGUCGUCAGCUCGUGCCGUGAGGUGUCGGCUUAAGUGCCAUAACGAGCGCAACCCCUCUCCCCAGUUGCCAUCGGGUAAUGCCGGGCACUCCGGGGACACUGCCACCGUAAGGUGCGAGGAAGGUGGGGAUGACGUCAAAUCAGCACGGCCCUUACGUCCGGGGCUACACACGUGUUACAAUGGCCGGUACAGAGAGCCGGGUCUGCGCAAGCAGUCUCCAAUCCCAAAAGCCGGCCUCAGUUCGGACUGGGGUCUGCAACCCGACCCCACGAAGCUGGAUUCGCUAGUAAUCGCGCAUCAGCCAUGGCGCGGUGAAUACGUUCCCGGGCCUUGUACACACCGCCCGUCAAGCCAUGAAAGCCGGGGGUGCCUGAAGUCCGUGACCGCAAGGAUCGGCCUAGGGCAAAACUGGUAAUUGGGGCUAAGUCGUAACAAGGUA